GGGGGCGACAUGGAUUCGACAGGGCUAGUGAAGCAUUAGGAGCAUGCCGGGGUGGGAGAGGUCCUCGUUACAAACUCCUAUACGUCUAAAUGGCGAAAAUCAAAUGCAAAUGGCUGCCUAAUAUAGUGUAGCUAGGGUACUCAGGCGAUCGCCGGUGUUUCUUGAACUACCCUCAUCUUAGCCGGAUCGACCAACGCACGCCUCUCAGGUGUUAGGUCUAAACUUUACUGAGGGAGGGUCGAAAGCAUUUUGUCUGUGGAAGACUUCCGAUCAACUUAAAAACAUAGACUAAGCAUGUAGCGCCUCAUGAUGGAUCAGUUUUGGACGAGGGUUCGAUUCCCUCCGCCUCCACCA
rnacentral:tmRNA from 2 species